UUACGAAACGGCGCCCUCACCGGCGCCGGUUCUCAAACACUUGUAUACCAAACUCUUGGUGUUGCCUCCGGCAGGCUGCUAACCCAGCGACCGCCGGGCGGUAUAACCGGGAAUGGUUUCCUUCGCGGGGUACCCCCCGCGGCAGGACGCUACCAAACAUUUUGUCAAGAUGUCAUCGUCUGAACCUAUUGAAAAAAUAGAAAAUA
rnacentral:misc_RNA from 1 species